UGUUUGGAAAGGCAUUUCUUAGUGCUUAAUAUUUAUUUGAGAUUGAAAGUUUUUGUGUAAAAGUAUCUUAGAGUUGAAAUUGUAGUGGAGCAAAAUUGAAUGCUAUUGAAGCAAAAUUGAAUUUGUGGAAAUUUUUGGAGUGGAGAGAGGUUGCUACCUCAAGUGGAAUACAAAUGAGGUUAGUGAUUUCUAUCUCUUCAAUCGUUUACAAUGUUGAAUUUAUGUUAUACUUUUAAAAUUGGUGUUUAAUAUUUUUUUAACUAUUUUAAAUUAUA
rnacentral:lncRNA from 1 species